AUCUAUGGCUAUGCCACCCUGAACAAGCCCAACGUCUGAUCUCGGAAGCUAAGUAGAUUCAGGCCUGGUUAGUACUUGGAUGGGAGACCGCCUAGGAAGACCAGCUGCUAUAGGCA
rnacentral:rRNA from 1 species